UACGUAGGGAGCAAGCGUUGUCCGGAAUCAUUGGGCGUAAAGCGCGCGUAGGUGGCUUCGUAAGUCCGUUGUGAAAGUCAAAGGCUCAACCUUUGAAAGCCGAUGGAUACUGUGAAGCUAGAGUACGGAAGAGGCGAGUGGAAUUCCUGGUGUAGCGGUGGAAUGCGCAGAUAUCAGGAGGAACACCGGUGGCGAAGGCGGUUCUCUGGGCAUUACCUGACGCUGAGGAGCGAAAGUGUGGGGAGCAAACAGG
rnacentral:rRNA from 1 species